rnacentral:ncRNA from 1 species
UAUCUUUGUUUCGGUUUUGGUAACAAAGCUUAUGCUUUAGGAGAAAAGGGAAUACCGUGAAAUCCGGUAACAGUACCCGCUGCUGUGAUUCUCGAAGAACUUGAGUAACAAGCCACUGCAUUUAUUUGUGGGAAGGCACUUUAAGAGAGAGAUAAGUCAGAAGACCUGCCAGAACUACACAUUAUAG